CGAGAAUCCGGGGGUCUGGAUUCUGACGUCACCACACAAAACCCAUUUUUAAACACUUUUGAAAACCUGUAUUUUUGAGGAGAAAAUAAAAAUCAAAGCAUUUAAAACUUGAAGACUUUAAUAAAAGAUUUAAAAGAAAACACUUUAACCCCCUAAAAACAGGAUCGCAUCCAGGUUACAGUAUUGAAAUCAGAAUCAACCACUAUCAAUAAACAAUAUCUUACAAUCUCAGAUCAUCUUCGAUAAGAAGAAUCACUGUCAAUCUAUUCCAAUUAUGACUUACAACUGAAUCUCAUCAAUACAAUUCUAUCUAGAACCAACCUUGACAAUCUCCCUGGACAUUCCACUUGUCCUCUGGAUAUUCUAUAACUCUGACUCCUCGCUUAGCCUUAGCCAUACUCGCAAUCUCAAUCAAGCAAUUCAUCUCUAAGCUUUUCUGAAAUGGUAAAAAAAAAAGAAUAGCAAGGGUGAGCUACAAUGCUCAACAAGUGUAUAUAAGCAACAAUAGUCCUGAAAUAUUUUAUCAGGGUUCACAAGUUCAGGAUAUGCAAUUGAAAACUUCACAAUUCUUAUCAGCAAUUGAAAUCAGAAUUUCAAACUUACAGAAGAAUUGUCGAAUUGGAUUCAUCACAUUUUUACUUAAAAACCAAAGGUUAGGCUGCUGAUCAGUCACGCACUAACCCCGAACAUGGCACACAGCCCUGUUCUCUAUACUGGAUCCAAGGCACACAUUGGCCUAUAAUUGACCACGAAUCUGGUCUGACCACGAAUCUGGUCCACAUAUUUUAUAAAAACUAAUCCAAUUCUAACAAUUUAAAUCAAUAGACAAUUCAAUCAACAGAACAGAAUCAUAAUCAUUAUCAACAACAGAAAUAUUUCAAAUCAACUUUUGGGAAUCAACAUUUCAUAAACCACAGUCUGUCUUUUGAUAAAUCAUAGUUCAGGAAAUUCCUAACUAUUCAGUAUCCUCCAUUAUCGGCUAAGCAACUGAAUUUAGCCUGCUAAACCAGCAUGACAAUGGCGGGUUGAAUAAUCAAGAAGAUCCCAGUUCAUUCUAGGUUCUAACUAUCACUGAGCAACACAUGCUUCAAUGACGGUCUGAACUUCGAAUUAAUUUGUAAAGCUGGUAUUUUUAAUAUCUUGAGGAUUGGAAAGAAUGGAUCAGAAUACUUGUAAUAGAAAUUGAGAGUAAUUAGGUGUUUGGAUUUUCAAAACUUGGAAGAAGAAAACAAUCAUGGGUUUCAUGCUCAGAAGUAAGAGUUUAUUUGAGAAGGGUUUCAGUAUAAACAAUAUCAUAAUCUUGACAGAAUAAUCAGAACAUGCAAUAUAUAUAUGAGGAAGGAUUUAGGAAAACUUGCCUUAAAUCCGAUUCCAGUCUCAUAUCUCAAUCUCAUCUUUCCACUUUCACACUCUAUGCAUAUCAUAGUCUCUAGACCAUCUUUGGCUAUACUCUAUUCGCCACACUGCUUCGUUUACUCGAUUCGUUCCUUAUUCGCUUUGUAACAUCGUUUGACCUUCUGAACGUCUUCGAUCGUAUCCGUCUCGUCCAAACCCUUUACGAGAAUAAGAUACUACCAUUAUCACUAAAUAAUCUAUUGAUUCUUAUCUCUACUUAUCAACUCGGUAGCAUAACCUAUCGCAUACACAUAUCACGUAUAUCGAUACCCACUUAUAUAACUCUUUAAACUCAUCAAAUAUCACUUAACACAUAAUCAUGCUUUGACUCUACCAUAUAGUCUAAUCAUAUUUCACAUAACAUAUUAUCAAUUAAAUAUCAUAUAAAUCUUAUCGAAAAUCCGACAUCGUCUCGUCUAUUUAUUAGACUAUCCACCUGUUAUCCUAUCUCAAUCAACAAUCAACCAACCAAAUCCAAUCACUAUAAUCCAUAUGCUUUUAUCCGACAUCUAUCAAGACACGACACUAUGUCAUUUAAUCAUUUAUCACAUGUAUGUAAUACUAGAACAACCAGAUAGUCCAUGCAAUCAUCAAUUAAUAGCAAUUAGAUCACAUAUAAUCAUAUUCUAUACAUUUAACAACAAUUAUUCACAUUCUAUACUCCACCAUAUUAUUAUGUCACAUUAAAAUAGACUUUAUAAGCUUUAAUCUCUUUUUCGUUUCACUCCAUUCUGAAUUACGAGUCAAAAGUUAUGAACAAAACUGUUUUCUUACUCUCUAUCGGCACAUAACACAUCAAACAGAUAGCAGACAACAUAUUUCAUAUAAGGUCUCCCAUCCCGAUUGAUGUCAAAUCAAGUCUUGGGUUAAAAAUGAUUUUUCGGGAAUUUUCUGGAAUUUCUAGACAUUUUUCGGAAUUAAAACAGGUAAAAGAAUCCAUUUUUGAAUAAAUAAUCAAGUCCGAUUGCUCAAGAUCGGAUCCAAAAUCAUUUGAAAUCAAUUAACGAGCCUCGAACAUAUUUUAGAAAAAUAAUUCAAAGCUCGAAACUAUUUUCCAGAAUUUUUAAAUCAAAAGGAACAAUUAAAUCUAAUUAAUUAAUCAAUUAAAAUCAAUUAAUAAUUAACUAAAUUAAUUAAUCAAUUAAUAUUUAAAUUAAUUGACCAAUUAAAAUAAUUAAUUACUAAUUAAAAUUAAUUUAGAAACUAAUUUAGAUUUAUUUUUGAAUAAAGAAAUAAUUAAAAACUAUUUUUGGAAUUUAAAAUAAUUAAAUAAAACAAUUUUAGAAAAUUAAAUCAAAAGGUUUAUUUUGUAAACUUUUGAAAGUUUUGUCCAGGGUUUAAAGUGUAACUUUCAGAAGUUACAGGGGCUGUUUUGCAAAGUUCAAAACCUCGAUACUAGAUCUUCACCAUCUUCAAAACAUGGGUGGCCAAACGACAAUUUGCCGCCGGCCACCACUGGCUCCGCCGGAAUCGGUGCUACCGACCUCCGUUCGCCACCAAAUUGUCCAGAAACGCAAUAUCCACCACCAGGAAUCUGUUGGUGGCUUCGUUUUCGAGAAAGGAGCGGCCAAUUGGCCGGAAAUCCGCCCGGAAGUUCGCCGCUGCCGAGUUCUUCGCGAACUCCGGCCGGCCUGUACACAGCUCGUUUACUUGUUUUGAACCCAUGUAUAGAUUCCUCUUAAAACGCUCUUUCUAAUGGUACUAACCACACACCCUCUAGCUUCCUAGAUUAAAAACGCCCAAUUUCAAUUGAAAAGCUUCAAGAACAUUCAAGAACACAUCUCAAGAAUCAAACCCUUAUUUCUAUAUGUUAUGGAAGUCAAAAAUCGACAUAUAAUAUAUGAAAACGAAUGGCAGGAGAUGCUCUACAACAUGGAAUCAUCAAAUCAAUCAAACAAUCACGUUUGCAAAAAUUCAUAUUUAAAAUCCAUAUAAUUCGAAUUUUCGAAAAUUAAUAAUAAUUUACCCGUGAAAUCUGCAGUGUUACGGUUGAUUAAAAUAGAUUCUACGCGUCGAGAGCUUCGUUUUGACUAUUUAUACGCCUCCAUCGGAUUCCAAUAACGCCUUCAAAUCCUCGUUUGAAUAUGAAGAACACGAAGAACACCCGUUCGUCUUCUCUCGGUAUUCGUGCAGAGAAACUGACGAAAUGAUUGUACGUGCGAAAUAAACUGGUAAAGGAUAUUUAUAGAAGAAGAUAAGAGAAUAUUCCUUGAAUAUGCUUUGGAAUAUUCCUUGAAUAUGCUUUGGAAUAUUCCUGGAAUAUGCUUCACGCAUUACGAGACAACCAGAUAAUUAUUAACUUUAAAAAUAUUAAUAAAACCGUACCGGAUCAUUUACGGGGCAAACCGUACUCCGGAUUGAGAAAGUUAAAACACGAAUAAUGCUCAGAAUGUCCCAAAUAGCCUAAUGGCGAAAUUUUCCCGAACGCCCACGGGGUUCAAAAUGUUAAAUAACUAUUUAAAUAUAAUUAAUAAUCAAACGAGAUUAAAUCCGUAAAUCGAUUAUAAAAUCACAUAGCAAUCCAAUAAUCGAUAUGAACAUAUCCAAUUAAACUAUAUUUUAUCCUGAUCAUAUAGAAAUUGAAAUAUCUCAAAUCCGAACACAUAUGAGCAGUCAAUUCAAUAAACCAGAUAACACAAGUCUCACAAAUAUUCAUAUAAAUAUCACAUAUUAUUCAUAAAUUAUCUAGAAAAUACCCAAAUGUUCCAUAUUUUAUUCUGAGAAUAUGAAAAUUGAAAACUCGUGAUUGCAACAUAUAUAAGCAAUCAAAAUAGAAAACUAGUUAUCAAAUAAUUUACCAAAUAUUCAAAUAAUAUUCGUAAAUAACCAUAACUGGUUACACGACCAUUACACACGUAACACUUAAUCAUGUAAUACAUAUAUUCACAUAUCAACCAUCUAACUUUUACAUGACAAACCUCUGUAUUUUCAGAAAUAAUAUUUGAAAUAAGUUUUGAAAGGAUAUUCAUAUAUCCAUAUAUAAAUCAUUUGAAAAUAUCUAAAUAACACAUGACUCAUUCUGAUAAUAUCAAUAAUUAAACCCACAGUUCUAGCACGUAUAAAUACCAAUUACAGAAAAUCAAUUUACACCAAAAUUCAUACAAUAUUCACAUUAAAUUAUCAUAACUAACUAAACUCACAAUUCCACAUGCAACACUUAGCCAUGUAACAAUAGCAAUCUUUUAAAUCUUUAAAAUCAAUUAUAUAAAAUAUAAUUUUGAAAAGACAACCCUGUAUUGAUAAAACAAUAACCCGGAAUUUAAAUAUACAAUUUUGAAAACACAUUAAACUAGAAUAACAUAUUAAACUUUAUUCCUCUCUUUCUAAGAAAAUUACUUUUAUAAAGAUAAACAAUUUUUUUGAAAAAUCCGGGUCGCUAAAAUAAACGAAAUCACAACAGAAGAAUGCAUCUUCCGUCUUUAACCUUAUAAUUCACAUCACAAUUAUACUCAUAUUACACAGACCGUUCAUCUUAUCAGAAGAAAUCAAUUAAAGCCAAUAGUAAUAUUCAAAAAUUUAUUUCUAUAUUAAUAAACUAAUUCUGAAAAUCUGGGAUGUUACAUUCUACCCCCCUUAUAAGGAUUCUGUCCUCAGAAUCCGCGAAGAGAAUGAAAAUGUACAUCCUUCGUACUAUCAUCCUCCCACCUUCGUUCGACCUUGGCAUACCUUUGACUUUGAAACAAAUAAGAGUAUUAAAACUUUCACCAUUACAGAGCUCAGUUCUUAGAAUCACUCUUUAAGAACUUAGAAUGGAACAAAAUGUUUUCAAAAUAGGUCAUGUUUGAAUAAGAGAGUGACUGAGAGAUCAAUAUGAUCAAACGAACUUAGUGUUGCGUGCCCAUAUUAGACACUACUAAAGGUUGUUAACCUUCUUGUAAGUACAACACACACAAGUGAUGGCGUCCCAUCCAACUCCUAUCACACAGACAGGUAUACCUUGUGUCCCCUAUACAUAGGGUUGUUCAUCCCAAUCAUAUGGAAGAAAUACCAAGGAAUCUCAAAGAAUACCAAAGAAUAUCAAGAGAUAUCAAGGUAUAUCAAAGAAUAUCAAGGAAUAUCAAGAAAUAUCAUUGUCUUCUCACAAUAACCUUUAUCACACACCAAGAAUCAAUACCAAUAUCAAUAAUCAAUACCAAUGUUUUCUCGUCAUUCGAGAAAUAAGAAAUCUCAUUUAUCAAAACUUUUGUAGAAAAGAUAUCCCAAUAAGGACUUAAUGAUGAUGAGAAGAAUUAAAAUAAGUUUUUAUUGAAGAAAGAUAUUGCCAAGGUCUUCUCAAAUUCUUGCUCUGCUCCCAUAAGCCGUUGUUCAAGGUAUGUCCUCUUCUCGACGUUCUCGCUCGUGAUAGCUUCGUAAGAUCCCUUGUAGACAUUAUCGUUCGCAAUGAAGUUGGCUCAUCUUGAUAUCAGAAGAAAUCCCGGUUAGCUUGAAGCGUCGUCGUUAAGACUAACGUUCUAUCUCACUCACAAUAUUACUUCUGAUAACUAGACUCAAUUCCACAUACUCUCUAUCAUUCACAUCACAUCUAUCUACAAAACUCUCUUUCUAAUUCACAAUAUCUCAUAUUCAACACCCAUUCUUCUACAUCUCAAUUCAAACGAUAAACCACUUUCAAAUAUGUAACAUGGUCAGAAUACUCCAAACCAUGCAUCUUUAUCAUUCUUAACUUAAUCAUUCAUUAUUAAUACUCUUUUGACUAGGUCUGACUCUGACCCUUAUCACAAUUCACUAUCUCAAUCAGUCCCCAUACUAGAAACCAAGUGUCUAGACUUAGGAACCAUGAUCUAUCUAAACAUGUACCCUCAACUUAAUUAACUAUCUAGAUUCUAUUCCGAUUACCUCUCUAGACUAUCCCCAGACAGUCUCACAAUACCUCUAUAUGAGGUCACUGAACACUUCUUCUCUAUAAAACUUAUAACCACAAUCUAUAUUCUAAUUUCAAUAACUUAUAACCUGUUGCUCUGAUACCAACUGUGACAGCCCGAGAAUCCGGGGGUCUGGAUUCUGACGUCACCACACAAAAUCAUUCUAAAACACUUUUGAAAACCUGUAUUUUUGAAAAAGGUAAUAAAAUCAAAGGAUUUAAAACCUGAAAACUUUAGUAAAAGAUUUAAAAGAAAACACUUUAACCCCCUAAAAACAGGAUCGCAUCCAGGUUACAGUAUUGAAAUUAGAAUCAACCACUAUCAAUAAACAAUGUCUUACAAUCUCAGAUCAUCUUCGAUAAGAAGAAUCACUGUCAAUCUAUUUCAAUUAUGACUUACAACUGAAUCUCAUCAAUACAAUUCUAUCUAGAACCAACCUUGACAAUCUCCCUGGACAUUCCACUUGUCCUCUGGAUAUUCUAUAACUCUGACUCCUCGCUUAGCCUUAGCCAUACUCGCAAUCUCAAUCAAGCAAUUCAUCUCUAAGCUUUUCUGAAAUGGUUAAAAAGGAAUAGCAAGGGUGAGCAACAAUGCUCAGCAAGUGUAUAUAAGCAACAAUAGUCCUGAAAUAUUUUAUCAGGGUUCACAAGUUCAGGAUAUGCAAUUGAAAACUUCACAAUUCUUAUCAGCAAUUGAAAUCAGAAUUUCAAACUUACAGAAGAAUUGUCGAAUUGGAUUCAUCACAUUUUUACUUAAAAACCAAAGGUUAGGCUGCUGAUCAGUCACGCACUAACCCCGAACAUGGCACACAGCCCUGUUCUCUAUACUGGAUCCAAGGCACACAUUGGCCUAUAAUUGACCACGAAUCUGGUCUGACCACGAAUCUGGUCCACAUAUUUUAUAAAAACUAAUCCAAUUCUAACAAUUUAAAUCAAUAGACAAUUUAAUCAACAGAACAGAAUCAUAAUCAUUAUCAAUAACAGAAAUAUUCCAAACCAACUUUUGAGGAUCAACAUUUCAUAAACCACAGUCUGUCUUUUGAUAAAUCAUAGUUCAGGAAAUUCCUAACUAUUCAGUAUCCUCCAUUAUCGGCUAAGCAACUGAAUUUAGCCUGCUAAACCAGCAUGACAAUGGCGGGUUGAAUAAUCAAGAAGAUCCCAACUCAUUCUAGGUUCUAACUAUCACUGAGCAACCCAUGCUUCAAUGACGGUCUGAACUUCGAAUUAAUUUGUAAAGCUGAUAUUUUUAAAAUCUUGAGGAUUGGAAAGAAUGGAUCAGAAUACUUGUAAUAGAAAGUGAGAGUAUUUGGGUGUUUGGCUUUUCAAAGACUUGAAAGUUGAAAACAAUCAUGGGUUUCAUUCUCAGAAAUAAGAGUUUAUUUGAGAAGGGUUUCAGUAUAAGCAAUAACAUAGUCUGGACAGAAUAAUCAGAACAUGCAAUAUAUAUAUGUGAGGAAGUAUUUAGGAAAACUUGCCUUAAAUCCGCUUCCACACACAGCUUAAUCUCAUCUUUCCAACUCACAACCUAUGCAUAUCAUAGUAUCUAGACCAUCUCUGGCUAUACUUUAUUCGCCACACUGCUUCACUUACUCGAUUCGUUCCUCAUUCGCUUUGGAACACCGUUUGACUUUCUGAACGUCUUCGGUCGUAUACGCCUCGUCCAAAUCCUUUACGAGAAUAAAAUACUACCAUAAUUACUAAAUAAUCUAUUAAUUCUUAUCUUACUUAUCAAACUCGGUAUCAUAACCUAUCGCAUAUACAUAUCACUUAUAUCGAUAGCAUUUAACACAUAAUCACAUAUCACCCUAUAUAAUCUCUAUGCACUUAUCAGGUAUCACUUAACAUAUAAUCAUGCUUUGACUUUAUCAUAUAGUCACAUCAUACUCCAUGUAGCAUACUACAACUCAAUAACCAUAUAAAUCCUAUUGAAAAUCUGACAGCGUCUUGUCUAUUUAUAGGACUAUCCAUCUGUCAACCUAUUUCAACCAACAACCAAUCAAUCAACUCAAAUUCCUGUAAUCUACAUAUUCUUAUUCAACAUUAAUCAAGACAAGAUGCUAUGUCUCCCAAAUCGUUUAUCAAAUCAAAUGGAUACGUAUUUCAUAUAAUCAUCACUAUAUAGCAAAUAGAUCACGUAUAGUCACAUUAUGCAUUUUCAACAAUCUUUAUACACAUUGGAAACUCAAUCAUAUUGUUACAUUAUAUUAAACUAGAGUUUCUAAGCUUUAACCUCUUUUUCGUUUCACUCGAUUCUGAAUUACGGAUCAAAAGUUAUUAACAAAACAGUUUUCUAACUCCCUAUACAACUCAACAAAUAACCAACCCAAUCCAACUCAAUAAACCAACAAGUACCGAACCAAUUAUCAAUUAAAACACAAUCACACAUCAAUAACUCACAUAUCUCAGCCAAACAAUGAUUCAACUUUAAGUCUAGAUGCAAGUCAUAGAACAAUACAUAUAAUUCUAACUCGACAAUUCAUAAAGCCCAUAAACUGCUGGACAGACACCAAGAGAUUUGCAUUUUACUAGCAUUCGGAAAUCUCAUUUAUAGAUACAUUAAACAAAAAAAGAUAGAGCAUUCCAAGAUCUUUCUAACCAUAUAUAGUAUGCAAAAAGUGAUUAAGUAAUGAAACGGCAAAUCAUACUUCUUAAUACAAAUCAGCAACUGCCCUCUCAAUUUUGCCAACUUAUAGCACAUUAGAUUACAUAAUUUUCCUAGACAAUACAAACAGGAAAUGACAUACUUGAAAUUAUCUAAUCAACACAAAAAGAUUCACCAUUUAAUCAUUUAUAAGAUUUACACAAUGCAUCAUUUAGUAAAACAGGGCAGUGUAGUAUAGUUUUGACAUACUUGACUUAAUCAAUUUCCAUAAAAUAGAAGCAAGCACCAAAUCAAGGAACUCAGAGAAUAGAAAUCAUAUAGAACUCGAAUAGCUAAGUUACAGAGGUCAAACAAACAAGUUCCAACACAUAAUUAAUUUAGUAUAAAUUUUGGAAGUUCAACAUGGUGCAGAGAAAGCAUCACAGCAGGGCUCUAAUAACACCGUACACAUAAAAAUUCAUAUCUUAAUAUUUACUAAUCCAAAUUGAUUAAUUCCACUUGGCAUAGAUCCUUGAUUCCACAUAGCAUAUAGUCUCAGAGGUUCAGUAUUUUAAUUCUAUUCUAUGUUGUACAGACUUUGCAUACAAGACACAUCAAAAUCAUAACAUAUUACUCAGCAUCUAAUCAUGUAGCAUAUCUCUUAAAAAUCUAACAUAACUUUAAUCUUAUUAAUCCAAUCAACCUAAAUCCUUUUGGUACUGAUUUUAUACCUUAAGAGACAUCAAUAUAAAUCAAUCCAUUCACCAAUUAAUCUUAUAUCAGUUUGAAAUACACAUGUCAAAAUAGGGCAGUGCACACAUAUGUCACAUAGCAGAAUUUUGUCAUCUAGACAUAGAGUCACUAAUUAAUUCAUAACUUUUAGCUCAUUUAACGAAACUUUGAAAUUCUUUUUCGCACUUAAUCUAGACUUCAAGGAGCAUAUAAUCACAGGGAAAUUAAGCAUAGUAAUUGAACUUAAUAGUCCUAGAACAAAGCUACAAAACAGGACAUUACCGCUGCGAAGCUUGACAACAAUUGCCUCAAUUCUAACACCACAACUCAAAUUACACAAAAAAACCCAUUUUAAGAACAUAACACACAGCUAUAUAUACACCACCACAUCACCACCACGGCCCUCCACCAACAGUGUUGUCAUCAUCUCCAGUCGAAACGAACAGCCACACAAAUACAUACAUACACAAGUAUACAGACACUUAUGCAUAUAAUCAAGUUUAAGAAUCACAAUUAAUCAAAACGAGAGUUGAUUACCUUUGAUUGAGUGAAGACGGACAAACCCUAAUUUCACUCUCCCCCAAUUAAUCACACAGCUGCAGGAAUGAAAAAGGCAGGGAGGAGGAAAAGAACACUCAGUUGGGGAGAGAACGAGAGGUAGGAGAGACCGAGACUUGAGGUUUCAAAAGUGAUGACAUUAAGAAAAGGAAAGAAGAAAGGGAGUACAGGCGGUGGAAUAUAGGGGUACGUGUCACACUCUCAUGCUGCUGCGUGUCCUAUUUUUUGUAGAACAAUCCCUGGCUAAUACCCGCAAUUAGCUUAUUUACAGAUACUAUUCAUAAUAAAACAUUCCCGAAAAAUCACCAAAAUAAUUUUACAAAUCCAUGAAUAUUAUAAAACUAAUUAAAUAAAAGUUUCGGGAUUUACAGAGC
rnacentral:lncRNA from 1 species